CAAAGAGUAGUUUAAGUUAGAAUAUCAGCUUUGGGAGUUGAUGGUGGGGGUUAAAAUCCUCCCUCUUUGA
rnacentral:tRNA from 1 species